UAACAUGCAGGAUUAGUCCCAGUACCUGAUGGAUUGUUCAGCACAAGGGUUUGGUUCGGAAUUUGAGGUGGCACGCCGGCAUUGGCCGACGAGGGAAAUACUUGAUGCUGCAGGUGCUGAUUCAGUUGAUGAUGGUGAUAGUUAGGGGCUUGCUGAUCUGGCAAAUUGAGCUUCGCCUUGGAACCGUAGAGCUUCCUGGCGGCGGCAUCAUAAGCCAGAGCGGCCUCAAAGGAGGUGGCGAAAGUCCCGAGCCAGAGCCGGGCACCGCGGUUGGGCUCGCGGAUUUCAGCCACCCAUUUCCCCCACGUCCUUUGCCUGACGCCCUUGUAGGUGCACAUAGCGUUCUCCGGCCCUCCUUUCCCCUUCAUGCAACCCUUCCUUGAGCUUCCCUGCGCUGGCCGCUUCGCUGGCUUCUUCUCCGCGACCCCAACACUCAUCUCCGACGUCGACAUUGUGAGAAUUUUUUUAGAACAAUUGACGACUUUUUUUGUGAUUAUUAUUAUUAUUAUUAUUUUAUUUUAUUUUAAUUCGGGUGGUGAGUUUGAGAAACCAUAACCCGUAACGUUGGCGAUCCUUAUAUGAGGAAGGCAGACGUGACCUGAAACGUGGCUUGUGGAGGAUUAGGGCUUGAAUACUUGGCAUGGUGAACUGGAGAUAUCGUGUCCAUGGCUAGCCUCACUGUUUAAAUCUCUAAUACACACUUGGCUUACACCCUUGCUUGCUUUUUUGCUCAGGUGGCAAUCGGAGAGGAGCAGAAUUCCAGUUUUGCUUUCUCAUUUUUCAUUUUUUUCUUUUAUUAAAUCCGAAAUACAAUUAUAUAGAAGAGUCACAUUGGAUCUUUAACUCAGAGAUGAAUCGUAAUGAAUGAAUAACAAUAGAAGAGAAAAUUUUUAAACUAAAUAGAAACUUGACUGAAUAGACUUUCUGAAGUUGACUGAAAAUUCAUAUGAGAGAAAAGUGGAUGAAUAACAAUAGAAGAGAAAAUUUUUAAACUAAAUAGAAAAUUGACUAAGUAUGACUUUCUGAAGUUGACCGAAAAUUCAUAUGAGAGAAAAGUGGAUGAAUAACACUAGAAGAGAAAAAUUUUAAACUGUACAUAAAACUAACUGUCUUUCUGAAGCUGAAUGAAAGUUAAGACAAGUUAGAAAUGGAUGAAUAACAGUAGGAGAGAACACUUUUAAACUGUACAGAAAACUGACUGAGUAUGUAUUUCUGAAGAAGAACUAAAAGUUGAGAUAAGUGAGACUUAUGUACUUUUGAGUAAGAACUAAAAUUAAGUUGAGAUAAGUGAGAGAUUUGUUGACAGUGGAAACAGAUGUUUGUUCUAAUUUUUUUUUUCACAUUUUAUUUAAAUUAGAGGAUAAACACGUUUACUUUAUCAUUUUUUUCAAUUUUUUUUAAAAUAGAGUGUUUGGGGUUUAUGAAAGUAUUUUCAAACUUUCUCUAUGGAGAUAUUUGGAUAAUGGUAUCCGUCUUUUCAAGGGUUAAAUUUAUAUUAACAUUACAAUGCGAUCCACAUCAGAUAUUAAGUUAUAAAAUUAAUUAUUUCGGAUAUUGAAGUUAACAUCAAAACCAUAUGUAUCAUGACAGAACAAUAUUAUGGAUAUCAUUGUCGCUGAUAGCCUGUCAAUCAAACACCAAAGUAAAAUCUCCAUAAAAAAAUCAAAUAAAUAAUAAAAUAUAUAUAAUUCGAGUCCAACAAAAAGUAAAAUCCCCAAUUGGGCAAAUGUAGCAAGCCCUAAUUACAAAGAAGAAUUCACGUCGAAUCUUUAAGUUAGAGACGAAUCGUAAUGGAUGAAUAACAGAAGGGAAAAUUUUUAAAUUAUACAGAAAAACUUAUUAAGGAUGUCAAGUAGAGUUGACUGACAGUUGAGAUAAGAAAUUUAUCUCGGCCAAACCCACGAUUCAAAUGAUACACUUACACAUUACGAAUUAAACCCUGCGAAGGGACAGACAGUAUUGUUUGUUGGGGACAUCUCUUACGCAGAUGGUUAUCCGUUUCAUUACAAUAACCGCAGGGAUACGUGGGGAGGUUCGUAGAGAGAAAUGUUGCUUACAAACCGUGGAUUUGGAAUGCAGGAAAUCACGAAAUCGAUUUUGUUCCUGAGCUUGUAUGCAUUUUUUUUGCAUUGUUUGUUGGUAACCUCUCUUGAUGUAAUAUACGAUACAAGUAAUUACAAUGUUGUUGCAGGGUGAAAAUAAACCCUUCAAACCGUACACACAACGGUAUUUUGGUCCCUACGAAGCUUCGGGUAUUACGUCUCCUCUUUCGUACUGCAUCAAGAAAGCUUCAGCCUAUAUCAUAGUCUUGUCCUCUUAAUCAGCAUAUGGUAAGAAUGCUCAGUUCUCCACAUUCAUCUUGCGCAAGCAAUUUCACAGAACUGUGUCUUUCGUGGUUACUUAUGCAUUGCAGGGAAAUAUACUCCUCAUACAAGUGGCUCGAGGAGGAGCUGCCGAAAGUGAACAGGACAAUGACGCCAUGGCUUAUUGUUCUUAUGCAUUCUCCACUGUAUAGCAAUUAUGUACAUCACUAUAUGGAAGGAGAAUCCUUCAGAGUUAUGUAUGAGGAAUGGUUCGUGGACUAUAAAGUAGACAUUGUCCUCGCCGGUCAUGUUCAUGCCUACGAACGAUCUGCAAGCGUUACAUGCCUGCGAACAACCUAUUAAAACUAUGGCGGUUUCAGAUAUGAAUGUUUGCAUCAGAACGGAUAUAAAAAUCUUGCUUACAACAUUUCAAAUGGACUAUGCACUCUGGUAAGCGACCAGUCAGCCCCGGUUUACAUAACCAUCAGAGAUGGAGGAAACCGAGGAUUGGUUACCGAGUACGAUGUUAAUUCCCAUUCUUAUUAUCUGUGAGCAGUCUUUCCUGUUGAUCAAAUGUUUUGAAAUUGCUGUGGUAUUUUGUGUUUUUCUGCAGAAUGACAGAACCACAACCAAGUUACUCAGCUUUCCAGGAAGCUAGCUCUGGUCAUGGGAUUUUCGAUAUAAAGAACAGAAGUCAUGCAUUUUUCAGUUGGCAUCGGAAUCAAGACGGGUAUAUGCAGUUGAAGCUGACUCUUUGUGGUGAAGAACAGAUAUUGAAUUCAAUGAGUUCUGAGUUAGACAAAACACGACGGUUUGAUUAUUUCGUCUUUCUAUAUUAACCAGGCGAGCCUUUAUUUCGUCUAUAUCUUAUUUCUAUAUUAAUUGGGCGAACCUUUUGAGUUUUGAACUAGACUAGGCGCGAUGGUUAAAUUAUUUUAUCUAUUUCAUCUUUCUAUAUUUUGUGAUCGAGUUUCAUUCUGAAUCUUGUAAGUUAUCCAAUUCAAUCUAACACAUCAGAACUCGUUCAUCGAACUACUAGCAUAGAUAAUGAAAUUAUGACUCCAAGUCCAAUUGCAAUAAGUGCACUUGCAGAAUUGGCUCUAAAUCCCAGCAUUGAUAAAUAUACAAGAUGCUUGUGGAAUAAAAGGGACAGAUAUGGCUUGCAACAAAGAUAGAAAUGAAUUAAGCUCAAAUGUUAGACUUCCCCAAGAGGCAGGAAGAGGGAUCCUCCAUAUCCUAAUAACGAGACUAUAAAACUUCCCACCAAAAGGAGGAAUCAAACCAGGAAAGGAAAUAGAUUAAAUCCUAUAAUAAGAUGAAAUAGAUGAAAUAAUCAAAUUGUUGUGCCAAAGCUAAUUUAGAGGACUCAUAUGGUUCUCCAGAUUAGAUUGAAGUGAAUAACUCAUAAGAUUCAAAAUGGAAUAAAAAGAUAAUAGACAAAAUAAUCCAACCGUCAUGCAUAGUCUAACUCAGAACUUAGAGGGCUCGCCUUGUUGAUAAAAAGGACGAAAUAAUUUAUCCCUCAUGCCUAGUCUAACUCAAAAUUCAGAAAGUUUGUUUGGUGCCUCAUAUUAAACCAAGUUAGACAACUCACAAGAUUCUAAAAGAAAAUCAUUCACAUAAUAUAGAAGAGAUAGAGUAGAGCCCCAGAUAUAUUUAUACUUGUAUAUAUGUAUUUCGUUCAUAUCAUAAAUGCAUACACAGGGAGCACUUGCAACAAACCCCUGCAAGCUGCGACUCAUUUACAAACCCUGCACAUAACUUUUUUUUUUUUUUGUUUCUUAGUACACAACUAAAAAUUUUGCCCAAAAAAUCUACAGAUUAAACGAAUUAAAAAAAAAUGUGUCUAUAUCAUUUCUUACGAAGUAAAUACUAGUACAUGCUUAAGACAAGAAGAGAAAUAAAGUUUCUUUAGCACAAGAAUGUACAUCAAGGCUUAGUAUGACAUAAUGAAUGAAAGAUAGAUGAACAAAACUAUACAUUAGAGCCCAGUCGUCGAACUAUUAUCAUAGCCUACCCUUAUACACACUUUCUAAUACUGUAAAUAAUAAAAUUAUGACUCAUCAACUCCAGUUGCAAUAAGUGCACUUGCAGAAUUGGCAAUAGAUCCCAGCAUUAACAAAAAUACAUGAUGCUUGUUGAAUGAAGGGACAAAUAUGGCUUGGAAACAGAGAGAGAGAGAGAGAUGAAGUAAUGCCUCAACUGUUGUACGGAUAAGCUCAAACCUUAAACUCCCCCAAGAGGUAGGAAGAGGAAUCGUCCAAAUCCUGAUGAUGAUCCUAGAAAACUUCCCAUCAAAAUUUGGAAUCAAAUCAGGAACGAAAUAAUUGGAAUUAAAUUCCAUAAUGAGACGAAAUAGGCGAAGUGCAAUAGUAAAUUAAGAGGAUUUAUAUGGUGCUUCAGAUUAGAUUGAAUUAGAUAACUCACAAAAAUUAUAAUGGAAAUAAUUCACAUAAUUAACUAUUGUGCCUAGGCUAACUCGAGACUCAAAAAACUCGUCUAGUUAUCAGAUUUCAAAAGGCUUACCUGGUUAAUAUGAUAGGUGAAAAAGAUGCAUCUGAUCUAACUCAGAAGGCUCGUCUAGUGCCUCAAAUUAAAUUAAAUUGAAUACACAUCACAUAACAUCUGCGUACUUGGAUAUUGUAUUUUAUUCAUAUCAUACAUACACAAGGACAAUAGAACUUGCAAGAAACCUUGCAAGCUGCGACUCUUUUACAUUACCCUGCACAUUACAUUCUUUUGAGUACACUCCCAAAAAAUCUAAAAAGAUUAAAAGAAGAAAACCUUAAUGGUCUUAUUGAAAUGACCACGACAAGGCGCAGAAAAACUCAUGCGACGCCGCAGCCCUUUAGAUAUUUAUACACACCCUACUAUACAUAAUGUGGGCGUAUGAAGCACUGAAGAGUACCUUGUGCAACUUUAUUUACCAAGCCACCACCUUUGAUCUCUGUCCCUUCAAUUUUGAUUUUGCAUCAUGCACCAUUGGGACGAUGCAAUGUUUCCCAGCAAUUUCCAUCCACAAAACCGUGGUCGAAAAUCCCUUGAUAAGCCACCACUGGAAGAUCAAGCGAUAUGGCUUCCUCCGUCCAUAUCCAGUCAUCAAAUACCGGAAAGUUGUCGCUCAUGUUCCCCCAGAAUAUCCCAUCCAUUCCUUCAUUGUUCACACCACUGCUCAUAUUCUUUUCCACUUUCCUGCCACCCUGCUCCGGCAGAGUCUCAGCCCCGCCAGAAUUAUAAUUUCCGUGGGGCUGAUCCACUUUCGCAUUCGGAAAAUUAUUGUGAAUAACAGGUACUGCAAUAUCUUUCACAGGAGGAGCAUAACAUGCAGGAUUAGUCCCAGUACCUGAUGGAUUGUUCUGCACAAGGGUUUGGUUCGGGAUUUGAGGUGGCACGCGGGGAUUGGCCGACGAGGGAAAUACUUGAUGCUGCGGGUGCUGAUUCAGUUGAUGAGGGUGAUAUUUAGGGGCUUGCUGAUCUGGCAAAUUGAGCUGCGCCUCCGAACCGUAGAGCUUCCGAGCAGCCGCAUCAUAAGCCAGAGCAGCCUCAUAGGAGGUGUCGUAAGUCCCGAGCCAGAGCCGGGGGCCGCGGUUGGGCUCGCGGAUUUCCGCCACCCAUUUCCCCCACAUUCUUUGCCUGACGCCCUUGUAAGUGCACAUAGCGUUCUCCGGCCCUCCUUUCCCCCUCAUGCAACCCUUCCUCGAGCUUCCCUGUGCUGGCAGCUUCGCCGGCUUCUUCUCCGGAACCCCAACACUGCUACUACCAUCACUCAUCUCCCACUUGGACAUUGUGAGAAUUUUUUUAGAAGAGUUGAGGAUUUUUUUUUUUUUUUUUUUUUUAAUUCGGGUGGUGAGUUUGAGAAACCAUAACCCACAAGGGUGCAGGUACUUAUAUGAGGAGGAAGGCAGACAUGACCUGAAACGUGGCUUGUGGAGGAGUAGGGCUUGAAUACUUGGCAUGGUGAACUGGAAAUAUCGUGUCUAUGCUAGCCUCACUGUUUAAAUCUCUUAUACACACUUGGUUUACACCUUUGUUUGCUUUCUUGCUCAUGUGGCAAUCGGAGAGGAGCAGAAUUCCAGUUUUGCUUUCUCAUUUUUCUUUUUUUUUUCUUUUAUUAAAUCCGAAAUACAAUUACAUAGAAGUUGGAUCAUUCCAAUUAACUCAGUUUUCUUUUCACCUUUUUAAUUUAAAUAACAGGUAAGAUAAACAUGCUAACUUCAUGUUUUUUUUUUUUCAAAAUAUUUGGAAAAGAAAGUGCUUGGGGUUUAUGGACGCUUUCUUCUUUUCUUUCUGGAGGUAUUUCGAUGAUGGUAGUUUUUUUAAAGGGUGAAAUUUAUAAUAACCUUUGAAACCACGGCGGAUAUUCAGUAAUAAUAUUAUUUGGAUAUUAAAGUUAUAAAAUUAUAACCUAAGAAUAAUAGAAAGGAACAAAUGGUGUAGUUACAAGAAGAUUUUGAUUAAUAAGUUUUAGAACAUAAAAAUCGCCUGCCAUAACCUAAGAAUAAUAUAAAGGAACAAAAGUUGUUCAAAAGUUUUGAAAUUGCGGUGGUAUUUUGUGUUUUUCUGCAGAAUGACAGAACCACAGCCAAGUUCCAGGAAGCUAGCUUCGGUCAUGGGAUUUUCGAUACAAAGAACGGAACUCAUGCAUUUUUCAGUUGGCAUCAGAAUCAAGACGGGUAUGCCGUUGAAGCUGAUUCUCUGUGGUUGAAGAACAGAUAUUGGAACAGUUUUGAAAAGUCAUCAUCCUUAGAUGCAUUCUAGAUCAAGUUUUCAAUGCCCUCCAACCAUGUAGACUUGCUGCACAAGUUUUCACUCACCUGCCAUAACUAAUGGUUGCAGAAGUUGUUUAUAUAUGUGUAAAUUUAAAAGUAAGGAGAUUGGAACAGUGAGAAGGGUUUCAUGUAAUCUAUAUAGAAUACCACUCUAAUCAUCAUCCUGAAUAAAACAGUCUGUUUUCCAUCCAAAGAUAAAACAAUUUUGGCUGCUGUUUUUGUGUUGUCAGUCACCACUUUCUUUUUAUCCUUUUUUGAAGAGAAAGGGUUUCAUCACAGAUGAAGUACGGAAGUGAAUUCAAAACAAUUUUUCUUUAUGUCCGUCCUUUUAUAUUAACAUGACGAGUCUUAUGAAUUCUGAGUUAGAUCACACGAGCAGGCUCUAUGAGUUUUGACUAUAAAAUUUCCAAUCAAAAGUUGGAAUCAAACCAGGAAUGGAGAUAAUUGAAAUUGUGUCAUAACAAGACGAACAGACGAAAUAAUCCAACUGUCAUGCUAGGCUAACUUAUACGACUCAUAUAAUGCCUAAAUUUAGAUUGAAUUGAAUAACUCACAUUUAGAAUGGAAUAGAAAGACAAAAUAGACAAAAUAAUCAAUCUGUAUUUAACUCAAAACUCAGAAGACUCGCAUGAUUGAUAUAGGACGAAAUAAUUUAAUCGUCAUGUCUAGUCUAACUCAUAACUUAUAAAGCUCAUUCAAGCCUGAUGAGAUUAGACUAAAUUAUAUAAUUCACAAGAUGAAAAAAAAAUUAAAGGAAAUUGAGGGAUAAAAACGAAGCAGGAGUUUGCUAAAGAAGAAAAAAUGUGUGUAUGGCCUACAGAUUAAACGGAUCAAAUUAAAAAGAAAAAUUAAUAUUGGGGGAUAAAAAAACAUGAGUGUACAAAAGAAGAAAAAAAGUGUGCCUAUAUCAUUCUUACAAAGUAAAUAACUAGUACAUGCAUAAUUAAGACAGGAAGAGAAACAAAGUUCUUUGGCAUAAGAAACUACACAUCAAGGCUUAGCGUGACAAAAAUGAAUGGAAGAGAGAUGAAUAAAGCUACAUAUCAGAGUUUAGUCGUCCAACUACCAUCAUAGCCCCCACCCUUAGACACAAUUCAAAUAUGAUAAACAAUAAAAUUACUACUCAUCAACUUCAGUGGUAAUAAGUUGCAGAAUUAGCAAUAAAUCCCAGCAUUGACAAAAAUACAUGAUGCUUGUUGAAUGAAAGGGACAAACAUGGCUUGAAAACAGAGAUAGAGAUGAUCUAAUGACUGAAAUGUUGUACGGAUAAGCUCAAACCUUAAACUUCCCCAAGAGGUAGGAAGAGGAAUCCUCCAAAUCCCGAUGAAGAUAGUAGAAAACUUCCCAUCAAAAUUUGGAAUCAAACUAAGGAAGGAAACAAUUGGAAUUAAAUCCCAUAAUGAGACGAAAUAGGCGAAGUAAUCCAACUGUUGUGUAAAAGUUAAUUCAGAAGACUCAUAUAGUGCCUUAGAUUAGAUUGAAUUAGAUAACUUACAAAAAUUAGAAUAGAAAUCAUUCAUAAUUAACCAUUGUGCCUAUUGUAACUCAGAAAGCUCAUCUAGUUAACUAAGAACUCAAAAGGCACAUACGAACAAGAAAGGUCAUGAUCUAACUCAGAAAGCUCGUCCAGUGCCUCAAAUUAGAUUAAAUUGGACAACAAAUCACAAAAUAUAGAAAGAAAUAGUAAAGCCACAAAUACAUUGUUUACUUGUAUUUGCCUUUUAUUCAUAUCAUACAUACACACAAUGGCACUUGCAACAAACCCUGCAAGCUGCGACUCUUUUACAAUACCCAGCACAUUAUAUUCUUUAGAGUACACUCCUAAACUCAAAACUAAAAACAUGAAAAAAAGAAAGCCUUAUUGGUCUUAUUGGUUUAUGAUAUAUAAAGCACAUUGGAAUGACCACGACAAAGCGCAGAAAAACUCAUGCGGCGCCGCAGCCUUAUGGACAUUUAUACAUACCUCUAUAUAUUUGUACUAUAUAUAUACACCCCCUCCUAUAUAUAUUUGCACAUAUGAAGCAUUGAAGAGUACCUUUUGCAACUUUAUUUACCAAGCCACCACCUUUGAUCUCUAUACCUUCAAUUUGAUUGACAUCAUGCACCAUUGAGACGAAUGCGAUGUUCCCAGAAAUUUCCAUCCAUGAAGCCGCAGCCGAAAAUGCCUUGAUCAGCCACCCCUGGAAGAUCAAGCGACAUGGCUGCCUCCGUCCAUAUUGAGUCAUCAAACACCGGAAAGCUCUCGCUCAUGUUCCCCCAAAAUAUCCCAUCCAUUCCUUCAUUGGUCACACCACUACUCAUAUUAUUUUCCACUUUCAUGCCGCCCUGCUCCGGCAGGAUCUCAGCCCCGCCAGAAUUAUAAUUUCCGAGGGGCUGAUCCACUUUCACAUUCGGAAAAUUAUUGUGAACAACAGGUACUGCAAUAUCUUUCACAGGAGGAGCAUAACAUGCAGGAUUAGUCCCAGUACCUGAUGGAUUGUUCUGCACAAGGGUUUGGUUAGGAAUUUGAGGUGGCACGCCGGCAUUGGCCGACGAGGGAAAUACUUGAUGCUGCAGGUGCUGAUUCAGUUGAUAAUGGUGAUAGUUAGGGGCUUGCUGAUCUGGCAAAUUGAGCUUCGCUUCGGAACCGUAGAGCUUCCUGGCGGCGGCAUCAUAAGCCAGAGCAGCCUCAUAGGAGGUGUCGAAAGUUCCGAGCCAGAGCCGGGCCCCGCGGUUGGGCUCGCGGAUUUCAGCCACCCAUUUCCCCCACGUCCUUUGCCUGACGCCCUUGUAAGUGCACAUAGCGUUCUCCGGCCCUCCUUUCCCCCUCAUGCAACCCUUCCUCGAGCUUCCCUGCGCUGGCCGCUUCGCCAGCUUCUUCUCCG
rnacentral:lncRNA from 1 species